rnacentral:piRNA from 1 species
UUGGAGUAUAUGGUGAUACCCUUGUCUCCC